UCGGCUCGCUACACUUGUCGGGUGGCAACACCCUAAACCGAUAUCGGAGUUUAUUAUUAUGGCAAUGACCGCCGCUCAAAAAGCACAGAUCGUUAAAGACUACCAGCGCCAGGAA
rfam:Vogesella sp. EB contig00012, whole genome shotgun sequence.